GGCUUUUUGAAUAUAAUUUAAGGUCGGGCCUGCCCAAUGAUAAAUCAAUUAAAUGGCCGCGGUAUAUUGACCGUGCAAAGGUAGCAUAAUCAUUAGUUUUUUAAUUGAAAGCUUGUAUGAAAGGUUUAAUGAGAAAAAUACUGUCUCUGUUUGAAUUUAUUAGAAUUUUAUAUUUAAGUUAAAAAGCUUAAAUGUGUAUUGAAGACGAGAAGACCCUAUAGAGUUUUAUAUCUUGUUUUAUGAUAUUUUAUUUAGAAUUUUAAAGAUUUAUUUAGCAAGAUAUUUGAUUGGGGUGAUUGAAAAAUUGAUUUAACUUUUUUUGUAUUUGUACAUUGAUAAAUGGAUAAUUGAUCCUUUGUUUAAGAUUAAAAGAUAAAAUUACCUUAGGGAUAACAGCGUAAUUUUUUUUAGAGUUCUUAUCGAAAAAAAAGAUUGCGACCUCGAUGUUGGAUUAAAAUUAAUUAUUGGUGUAGAGGCUAAUAAAUUAGGUCUGUUCGACCUUUAAAUUUUUACAUGAUCUGAGUUUAAACCGGUGUAAG
rnacentral:rRNA from 1 species